AAAUUGAAGAGUUUGAUCAUGGCUCAGAUUGAACGCUGGCGGCAGGCCUAACACAUGCAAGUCGAACGGUAACAGGAAGCAGCUUGCUGCUUUGCUGACGAGUGGCGGACGGGUGAGUAAUGUCUGGGAAACUGCCUGAUGGAGGGGGAUAACUACUGGAAACGGUGGCUAAUACCGCAUAACGUCGCAAGACCAAAGAGGGGGACCUUCGGGCCUCUUGCCAUCAGAUGUGCCCAGAUGGGAUUAGCUUGUUGGUGAGGUAACGGCUCACCAAGGCGACGAUCCCUAGCUGGUCUGAGAGGAUGACUAGCCACACUGGAACUGAGACACGGUCCAGACUCCUACGGGAGGCAGCAGUGGGGAAUAUUGCACAAUGGGCGCAAGCCUGAUGCAGCCAUGCCGCGUGUAUGAAGAAGGCCUUCGGGUUGUAAAGUACUUUCAGC
rnacentral:rRNA from 1 species